UUCGCGUUUCGACGUCGACGUUAAAUGUUAGCAUGACGAUGGAUGUAAGUUACGCAUCUGUUGCAUCUUUCGUUUUUCGAUUCAGCGACGAACGCGUGCACUUUUCUUCUGGUAGAACGUCGCGAUCCGUUGGGUGUCGGUCUACGAUUUGUAGUGGAGCUCAGAUGUUACACUGCAGUUCAGGCUGUAGUGGACACGUUUGAACCUAUAUCUCUCCGACCGACUUGCCUGACGGUAUACGAACGGUUUAGGGUCGCUCUUGGAGCGUUCGGCACCGAGCAAGCGCGCCAGCUGUUUCGAUGAUCGGACUUUGUGCUGAUCGCGAUCACUGGUGACUGUUGGCUAGGAUUGUCUUGAACCGACCUGACUCGCUCCUAAAAAACCGAUCUGCGGCGCUAUAGCUUUGGGUACUUUCAGGACCCGUCUUGAAACACGGACCAAGGAGUCUAGCAUGUACGCAAGUCAUUGGGAUUGAUUAAACCUAAAGGCGAAAUGAAAGUAAAAAUUCCUCGUAUGGGGAAUAGAGGGAGGACGAAUAGUUUUACCAGUAAACGGUAGCUAAUCUGCACUCCCGGGGCGUCUCAUUCUCAUCGCGAGUAGAGGCGCACCAAGAGCGUACACGCUGGGACCCGAAAGAUGGUGAACUAUGCCUG
rnacentral:rRNA from 1 species